rnacentral:rRNA from 1 species
AACGAACGCUGGCGGCAUGCCUAACACAUGCAAGUCGAACGAGACCUUCGGGUCUAGUGGCGCACGGGUGCGUAACGCGUGGGAACCUGCCCUUAGGUUCGGAAUAACUCCCCGAAAGGGGUGCUAAUACCGGAUAAUGUCUUCGGACCAAAGAUUUAUCGCCUUUGGAUGGGCCCGCGUUGGAUUAGCAAGUUGGUAGGGUAAAAGCCUACCAAGGCGACGAUCCAUAGCUGGUCUGAGAGGAUGAUCAGCCACACUGGGACUGAGACACGGCCCAGACUCCUACGGGAGGCAGCAGUGGGGAAUAUUGGACAAUGGGCGAAAGCCUGAUCCAGCAAUGCCGCGUGAGUGAUGAAGGCCUUAGGGUUGUAAAGCUCUUUUACCCGGGAUGAUAAUGACAGUACCGGGAGAAUAAGCUCCGGCUAACUCCGU